UUUUCUUCUAAUGUAACCUUCCACCAAACUGGAGGGAAAAGUUACCCGAGGCCAGAGAAGGGCUGGGGACGUGGGAGGGACUCACAAGAUCCCUGGUUCUAAAAACAGAGGUCUCUUUCCAUGAAAGUAACAGAAAAGUCAUUAAAAAUGGAUGAUCUUUUGCUGUCAUGGGAGAUGGCCCCUUUGCCACCUCUAACUCCUAUUGUACAUAUUCAGUAAUAAGAGAAGACCCAAACGGACCUGACCACUUAUCUACACCAGAAACCUUUAAAAAAUUUAAUCCUGGCCAACAUGGUGAAACCCUAGCUCUACUAAAAAUACAAAAAUUAGCCAGGCAUGGUGGCGGGCACCUGUAAUCCCAGCUACUCGGGAGGCCGAGGCAGCAGAAUCACUUGAACUGGGGAGACGGAGGCUGCAGUGACCCGAGAUUGCACCACUGCACUCCAGCCUGGGCAACAAAGCAAGACUCUGCCUGAAAAAAAAAAAUUAAUUCUGAAUGAUACCUCAGUCUUCUCAUCUGUAAAACAAUGAUAUUAAUCAUCAUGUCCUUCAAAAAUAUGAAUUGGAAAAGCUAUUUACUGUCCACAGUUGCAUUCUGAAAAUUAUGCAUGACUAUAAUAAAAUAUAAACACUGCUAAAUUUAAAAAGAA
rnacentral:lncRNA from 10 species